rnacentral:lncRNA from 1 species
CUUCAUUACCAUAGCAGCUUUGUCCUUCCCUGGCAGUUCCUGUCCACUGGGGAAUAAUAAUUGAACCAAAGGUUGGAGCUGAGAAUAAACUGACUUUCCCUCCAUGAGGUUUGGGCGUGGGUUAGGUGUGAAUUGACCAGUAGUUUUGUGCAGCCUGGGGAGCUCCUGCUUCUAUCAUCAGCCAACUCGGAAAUUUCAUCAAGAUCUAAGUCUAAAGCCAUUUCCCCUUGGAGUCAACCUGCAUGGCAAUCUCUUUGGUGUUUAAUUUCUAACUCUCUCUUUAAUGUGCCAGGAGAUGGGGAGUUGGCAUUAGUUCUAACUGUCAAUCAUCCCCCUCCAUUUUACCAAGUGGUUUCACAUACCUUCAUCUCCACUAACUUCACCACCACCUAGCUGGAGGGAUGGAUUGUUCCCUUUGUUUUACAGAAGAUGAGGAUGAAGCUCGGAUGACGUCGAGUCAGGCUAGAAUUCUGAGUGAGCUCUGCCUGCCCUUGGCAUUCACCUCUGCACAUCCAAGGUUGCCCAUUUAGAACAUCUACAUGCCGGGCAAAGUAGAAGCACCGGAGAGUGGAAGCCCCCAGAGGCAAAAUGGGAAACGGCAACAGCGUGGGGCAUAAGCACCUGGCUUCCUUGCCCUCAGUUGGUUCACGACAGCAUGUCCCAUGUCAUCUCCUGACGUUCCCCAGCAGGAUAGAGCUCUGGUUGCCCACAGCGGAGCUGAGCAUUCCACAGCACCACUGUGAUGUCAUCUGUGAUGUCAUGAGGGUGGCAGCCAUCAACAUUACAGUCCACAGACUGGACAGUCCCCAGGAUCUCUUUAAUGGUUCCAGAGAGUUCUCUGGCUAAAGAUCUGUGCCGCAUCUGUUGAGCGAUGUUGACGAUCUCAUCAAAAGUGAUAUUCCUGCUGUGUUUGAUGGUUUUCUGUGUCUUUCUGUCUCUUGGUGGUUCCUUCGGGACUUUGACGAUCACUGCAGAGGCAGUGGCACCACCUCAGUCUCGGCCUGGCUGUUCUGAACGGUCAGUUUCACUGUGAUCCUCAGGCCUUUCCAGUCACCUGUUCCCUUGGCAAUGUCAUCACCAACCUUUUUUGGAGACAGACCUAGAAGGCCGACCUUGGGGGCCAGCGCAGAAGUGGCGCCGACUUCACCCCGAUGCACCUCAGGUAUGAGACUUUGAUCUGGUUGGGGAUGAACUUCGCUGGGGUGGAGGCGGCUGGUGUCGCAUGAACCUGCAUUUGGGACAACUGAAGAAAGUUGCACCUUGGCCUCCUCCGAGCCAAAAGCCAAAGGCCAACCUUCCUGAAACAUUUGUUUUUGAGUUUAUAAUUUUAGCUGAGUGACCUUAGGCAAACCACACUACCACUCUAUCUAUG